UCUCACUACUUUGUCUUUGGCG
rnacentral:miRNA from 1 species